GACGAACGCUGGCGGCGUGCUUAACACAUGCAAGUCGAACGAGGCUCCUUCUUCGGUUGGGGUUCUAGUGGCGAACGGGUGAGUAACACGUGGGCAACCUGCCCCUGGCUCUGGGAUAACUCCAAGAAAUUGGGGCUAAUACCGGAUAUGACCGCUGAUCGCAUGGUCUGGUGGUGGAAAGAUUUAUCGGCUGGGGAUGGGCCCGCGGCCUAUCAGCUUGUUGGUGGGGUAGUGGCCUACCAAGGCGACGACGGGUAGCCGGCCUGAGAGGGUGACCGGCCACACUGGGACUGAGACACGGCCCAGACUCCUACGGGAGGCAGCAGUGGGGAAUAUUGCGCAAUGGGCGAAAGCCUGACGCAGCGACGCCGCGUGGGGAUGACGGCC
rnacentral:rRNA from 1 species